CAGACAUCUCCUGUGGAAGUUCUCCGACCAACUUGUUGGAGCUCAAGUCCAAACUGAUCGUCAGGCUUGUCAAGGAACCGAUCUCGGGAGGAAUAGGACCUGAGAGGCUAUUACCACUCAUAUCGAGCAAGGAAUUUCUCCAGUGAAGCUGUUCUCACUAAGGUCGAGCUGUUCUAAGUUCAUCAGCUCUCCUAAUUGAGGAGGGAUUUCUCCGGUGAUGUGAUUAUUAUGGACGUCCAGAAGCUCCAAGACCGUGAUGUUCGCAAUCUCGGAAGAAAGCUGGUUCUCUCCAAGCCUCAAUCUAACUAAAGAUUGACAGUUUGCAACACUUGGUGGCAACCUUCCUGUCAAAGAAUUCCCCAGCAGAAGCAGCUUGCUGAGCUUGUUCAGGCCAAAAAUCUUCUCUGGGAUAGCCCCUGUCAGCCUAUUCUUCGACAGGUCGAGUGCAUAGAGCUCUGUACAGUUGCCGAAGGAUUGUGGAAUGGCUCCUGUCAACGAGUUGCCCCACAAGAAGAGACUCUGUAGGGACUUCAAAUCCCCAAUCUGCCAAGGAAGAGACCCAGACAAUGCAUUUUUAUCAAGCUGAAGUGUAGUCAAGCUGCUGCAGUUGCUCACUUCCUCUGGGAUGGGGCCUGUGAGCAUGUUAUCAGAAAGACGGAGUUGUUCCAAGACUGCCAACCUCCCUAGCUCGCGGGGGAUCUCCCCGGAGAGCUUGUUAGCAGAGAGGUCAAGAACCACCAAUGCCGAGCAGUUGGCAAGCUCACCCGGGACCGUUCCUGUGAGUAGGUUCCCCCACAAGAGCAGGCUUGUGAGCUUCUGCAGCCUGCCCAAUUCUGGUGGGAUCAAACCGGCGAUCUUGUUCAUAUGCAAGUAAAGGUUUCUCAACUCCGAGCAUGAGCCUAACUCAGGCGGCACUGAACCAGAGAUGUCGGUGUCGUAGAGAGCCAGUGUCUGGAGAUUCACCAAGUUGCCAAACUCCGAUGGGAUUGUGCCGGAGAGGCCAGUGGCGGCGGCACCGAAGGUGGUGAGGUUGGUCAUCAGGCCGAGUUGUGGAGGGAGCUGGCCGGUGAGGUAGGGAUUGCCUCCGAUGCGGAACUGUUGGAGAGAAAACAAAGAACCAAGCUGGGAGGGGAUGGAGCCAUUAAGGAGGUUGUCUUGGAGGCAGAGGACCUGGAGAGAGGUGAGGUUGGCAAGAGUUGCAGGAAUAAGGCCAGACAGGCGGUUCGAGUUAAGGAGCAGGAACUGGAGAGAGGACAUUGCUCCAAGCUGCGGCGGUAUAGGGCCUGAUAAGGAAUUGGAGGAGAGAUCGAGAAGGCGGAGUGAGGCAAGGGCGCCGAGCGACGGGGGGAUGCUGCCGGAAAUGUUGGCCGAGGAGAGGUUGAGGAGUUGGAGGGAGGUAAGGGAGGAGAGCUCAGGUGGAAUGGAGGUGAGGUUGAGGAAGGUGUUUGGGAGGGAGAGAGAGAUGACCCUGCCCUGAGGGGAGCAGGUGACCCCUUGCCAAGAGCAGGGGGUGGGGUGAGAGGGAUCCCAUGAGAGCAGGAGACCAGGGGAGGAGCUGGUGGAGGUUGUAGCUAACAAGGACAGGAGAGCCUUGCCAUCAGGGGAAAGAGAGGUUAUGGGGCUAAUGGAACUGAGAAUGGCCAUUGACAAGAAUGAGAAGAAGAGUGAGGUAAUGGAAAUGGUAUUGACCUUCCUCAUCUGGAGUGUGUUCCUUCAGCUCUUUUGUGCUUGUCUCAACCUCUUCUCUGACAGUGAUGGAGGUCUAAAGUUCAGCAAUGGACACCAUUUGCAGCUUAUCUGAAGUGCCUGCUCGAGUUCAGUGAAGAAUGGUGGGAAUGGAAGCAAUGCAUACAAGGGAGCAGGAGGACUAUAGUUUCUCGACCACAACCAAGUGGGAUGAGGCAAGAAGUCAGAAUGCUUUGGAUGGAAGCAAUAGUUGCAAAGUCUUCAGAACACGUUCACAGAAGGCCAAAUAGCAUUACUGGAAGUGAAGGUGGUUUUCAGGACUUGAACAAGAGUGGUCAGGGUGCUACACUUGCAGCAGGCAAGACUACUUGAAUGACUGUUGUGCCUCACUCCAAGUAUGCACAAGGUUCUUCAAUGGAAGAUGAUGCUGAAGCCGGUAGAGCUACAGGAAUGAAGAACUGAAUGAUUGUUCUAAACACAGAAUCUCAAAUGUCUGGAUAAGAAGAGAUCCAAGAUCUACUCACUUGGAUUAAGGGUGAGGAACAGAACUGUAGUCCAUGUGAGAGAGGUGUAGAAGAGAACUGAAGCUUGCUUCAACUCCACCGAAGUGCCUGCUGCUGCUCUUCUUCUACUACUGGUACUACUGAUUUCCAAAACUCUUUAGACUAAAAUACCGGAGACACCAACUCAUCUUUCA